GAGGGUUAUUUAGGUGCUUUCCUGUGAUAGCUGUCGUCAGCUCUGGGAGGAGACUAAUGGGUGGGGCGGCACUGUCACUGAACAUAAAAAGAAAACCCGGCGCUAAACCAGUCCUUUCUAUUCUGCUGUGGUUUCACCCCCACUGCAGAAACCAUGGGGACUGUGACCUUCGAUCUUUAAUCGGUUACUUCUGGAGCCCUCACUCCAUGGAGCCCCACCCUUUCUGCUUGCUGUAAUUGGAUAUUCAUGGGAAUAACCCACACCUGUUGAGGAGGCGAGAGAAGAGGAGGAAGAGAUGGCGAAGAAAUCCCUGCUGCCAAGGGCAGGGUCACGUCACUCCCUUGGCCGUCAUGUCAUGAAGACACUACGCAUUAGAUGCGGCCUGCAAUAGGCAGUCACACCUCACACCCUGCCUCAGGGCCAACAUAGGCCACGCCUCACGUGAUAGAAGACAACUGAACAUGUGCAGUUGUCUUCUCUCGUGUGCUGACCUGGACCGUGUGUAGCCCUGAUGCAGCCUGUGAUGAGGGCUGCGGCUGCCUGCCGUUGGUACAAGUCCAAUGCGUCGUGUUCCCAUACAUGUACGGCAGGGAGCGGCGCGUGCAGAGCCAGUGCUACAAUAACGCACUGACCUCAAACCACGAACCAAAAAACCUAGACUACAGAAGCAACCAAACCAAAGCCAAACCAAAUACUUUUUCCAAUUCCCCUUUCCCGGUCGGCUUCUGGUUGUCUGUGUUGCUUGGUUCGGCGGCUCGGGGGGGCCUGCUGAGAAACACAACCCCUUUAUCAAAAACAUAAAGCAGAACGCAUUUUUCUUAAAAAAAAAAACAUUAAAAAACGACAAACCUUUGCAACUGAAAUGAUGUGGUGUAUCAAUCAUUUAUUUCCAUGUCUGUGAAGACCAUAAGUGAGUAGUAGCCUAUACCAAAAUAUGGAUAGCCCAAAUGUUGCUUGGAGCUUAAAUUGUUGGGAUUAGCAACAACAAACCUCUCAUAUAGCACACCCACCCAAAUAUAAGCAUGUUAAACCAUGAAGCACAUCCUGUUGCAUUUUAUACCUACAGUACACACCCCGAUGUUAUGUGUGCCACGUAAGGCACACAAUAAACCAGGACAUACAAAAACAGAUUAGUCAUAGCCUAAGUGCCUCAUAAAAUGUCGAGAGGGCGAUCUUAUGGGAUGGGUAUUGCUUAAUCGUAAAGCAUUGAGGUGCAAAUCAAGAGUUCACAGGUUCCAUUUUUUCCUGUAUCUCACUUUGGAUAAAAGGAUAUGCUAAAUUAACCCUUGUGUUAUCUUCGGGUCAUUCUGACCCAACAGUCAUUGUGACCCACCGUCGUAUUGCGACAACUUUACCGCAUACAAAAACAAAGUGAAGCAUUUUCUUUUAACAGCUAGGCUGUCUCAGACCCCCCACAUUGCAAAGGUUAAAAGAAAAUUAUUUUUAUUUGUUUUUGUAUUGGGUAAAAUUGGGUAAAUACAACGAUGGUUCGUUAUGAACCUUUGGGUCAUGUGACCCGAAGGCAGCACAAGGGUUAAUACAUUUAAUUCGACUCGGCAAGGUGUGUUGUUAUGACUUGGUUAGCAAUCAGAAACAAAAGCAAACACACUGAGCAGCCUACGCCAGAGCAGAAAUGAAACUUAUUUCGUUGCAAACGAAACCUACAGUGAAGACAGUCUCGUGCUUUAAGGAAAUGAAAGAGGCAACUUUCACUCCUUUCAACAGUGCAUAUUUAUAGGUUCGCAUAUUAGGUUUAACAUUAAUUUACAUAUGAAAGUUAUUAACGUGUGCACGUGCGCUGAAGCAACAUUGUAUUAGAAAUAGUCACAUAAACAUAACAUAAUGUUAAAGUUAUAUAUAAUUACAUAUAUACUAUACAACUAUAUGAUUGUACAGUACACAGUUUAAUUCUCACGUCUUAUCUUUCCUUAUGCUUUGUAGAAAUAUUAUUUUAUUAUAGGCCUAUCCAAUCACCCAGGGAAGAACCUGUUUGGUUUCCUUUUUGCAAGAGGGGCUUUCCAACACAAGAGGACAUGUAUGGGGGAGGAGUCCUUCACUGGACCAGUUGAGUUUCUGGCAGGUGUCUAUACUAUAAAGCCAUCCUCUACGUGUCUUCUGCAGAAUUACCAUCGGAACACAAUGACGGUGACAAUGGAUGAGGAGGGUGAAGACAGUGAUGAUGAUGACAAGGGAAAGAACUGCAUGAUGAUUUUUUUCAGGGCGUACUGAGGGUUAUUUAGGUGCUUUCCUGUGAUAGCUGUCGUCAGCUCUGGGAGGAGACUCAUCUUCUGAGGAUUUUUGUCUACUGCCAAGGGUAGCACACACAAUUCACUAGAAACGGUGAGAUGUGUGGACAGAAGUCAACUUUUACUUCAGACGGGAUUCACGUCUGGACCUUGAGUCAACUACUUGAACAGGAAGAAAGUCUUCCUUAAUGUGUGGACUCUCAAAAUGGAACAACAUUUGUAUUCUGCUAACAUAAAGAACAGAACUGUAUUGAAGUUGUGGGUGGAACAGCACAAGCGUCAAGCUGUUCGCUGUUCGUUCCACCCUGGUUAAACUGUGGUAUAUAAUGCCCACAGUUACCCACACCUGUGUUAGUAUAACUACCAGGGUGUUCAUUACAGGGUGAAAAGGCUGGGCAAAAUAGGGUCUACAUAAAUGCAGAUAUCACAGCAUGUGAAUCAAUAUCAUUGAGGGUAUGGUGUACUGUUAUAGCAUCCCUGUCCUAUUUAAAAGCCUUUAUCUGUCACUUCAGAUUAAUACUUAAUUUAGAAGUUUCUCUCGUCAUAACGGAAAGAGACAUUGUCUUUGGUCCAGGCGACUUUGGAGUUCACACAUGCCUUUUGUAUGAUGUAUUUUCUACAUGGUUUGUGAAUAGAAAAGCAGAAUACCCCCAGAUAGAGCACCACCAAACUUGAUUUUCCUCACUUUCACAGUUUUGGAAAGGAGAGACUCCCUGAGGGAAUGCACACAGAGUAACAAACCAAAUUACAAUGUGUGUUUUGUCAAUACUGUCAUAUUUUUGUUGUUCCACAUAUAUGUAAACACAUAUGCAAUGUUUUAGGAUUUCUGCCGCUUGGUUCUAUGGGAAGGGACAUCAUUUCUAAAAGGUUGAGGUUUACGCUUUCCUAAUACUGUCAUAAUGUCAUCAUUAGUGUCAAAGCAAAUCCUUUUUUAAAUGAAACCAUAGGUUAAAAUAGUCCCUGCUAAAUGUAGUGAAUAAAAGAAUUUAACAUAAAA